rnacentral:misc_RNA from 1 species
CAAAUCCAUGAGCACAGCACGAGGGACAAAGCGACCACAACUGGCCUCAUUGUAGUAUACAUUGAUUCUUUCCAGCUGAAGAUCUGAGCCGGCCUGGUAGCGACCAGUGGAGUCUAUGCCGUGCUCCGCGCAGACAACUUCCCAGAACUUAGCUCCGAUUUGGUUACCGCAUUGGCCCCCUUGGAUGUGUAGGAUCUCACGCAUUUUCGCUGGGUAUUUUGAAAAUGGGAGGGCUUCGAAUUUCACUGCUGAGAGAGAGAGAGAGAGAG